UCAGCGGUAGUUCAGCAUUAGCAUAUAGCAUUAGCAUAUCCUAGUCUUAGCAUAUCUUUUAGUGUUAUAAAUACUUAUUUAGUGUUAGCUUGGCUGUUGGAUAUUGUAGUUUAGUUAGUGUUUGGCUGUUAGUGUAAUUGGGAAAGUAUUUCGGGUUUAGUGUUCAUAUCGUCUUAGUAUUGGUGAGAUGGUGUAAUGUAGUAUGCUUGCGGUGACUCUGUGGGCAUUUUACCCGCGAUUCUGCACGUCUCCGUUUGAAGAGGGAGGCUGCCCACCGUGGCUCUUCCGCGAUUUAGAUGCAGCCCACCGACUCUGCUCCCCCACCACGGCGGGCUCCAGUCUGAGGUGAGUCAGCUAAAUAAACGUUUUAACAUCUUCUAAAGACAAUUCCCUACCUAAAUGCAAAGUCUGAGAGACGUGGUUCACUUCCUUUAGCUAGUCAGUCGGCAAUUCUGCAACAGUGGCUCUAACUGACGCAGCACUAGUUGACAGACAGCAUUACAGCGUGAAAUCCAGCUUGUGACCCGGUUCUGUGAGGAAUUCUGUUCAGGAGGUCGCAUUUCAGGCUCUCCACAUCAUGUGUGACUGACUUUUACGUUAUAACAACGAUCACACACUAGGAAUGUUAUAAAGCGCCUAUAUAGGAGAUUCUUUUGUAUGUUAUCUGACUUUAUAAACUCCCAACAACAAUGUGCUUCUAUUUUUUUUUUCAGGCUAAAUCUACCCAAGACACUGGCUGUCAGACUGAUUUAGCUGCAAGAAUGCACUUGUCCAGGCUGAUGUGAAGCCUUCCCUGUAGCAAAGCCAGCCAGAAUGGAGUUCACAGCCGCAGUGUGUCUGGUGACCCACAGGGACCAUGAUGAAAAUUCAUCUUCCAGAAAGUCCCAGAGCGUCCAGACCUCCUGAAAAGACCAAGAUGUAAGGUGUCUGCUGUUGAUUCCAGCUUCCACCUCAGUGACAGUGCAAGCUCAGUGAACUGUUCAAGGUAAAAAAAAAAAUUAAAACAUUUCAGAAUUUUUAAGAUAUUAACAAUUAAAUAAGUAUGUGAUUACAUCAUGACGGAGGCUACUGAUUCUGGCCCUGUGAUACUUGGUGGUGACGUGUGAGCUGAUUCACCUGGAAAAUAACUUUUACAUUAAAUAUUUUGUUUUUGUUAUCAAAAGUAAAUUAACUAAUAACCUGCAUUAUUGCAGGACACUCAGCAAAAUAUGGACUCUACACCAUGAGGCAUGCACACAUUAAUACUCUAUAAGAGCACAUAAGGUGAGCAACACCACAUAUUGUACACUGUCCUGAAUUUGUUUUCUUUCUGCAUCUCAUUAGCCUGGCUGAUCACCUGAUAACUCCUGUCAUCUGGUUAUGACAGCAUGAGGAUGUCCUCACACACCUGUAACCUAUCAGCUCAUCCUGCUGAAUAGAGAGAGAAGAGACAACACCACAUCUCCUGUUCCUGGAAAGCCUUCAGCCAUCCUUCGAUGACUGAGAACCUCCAUCAGCUCUGUCUCCUGUCUGCCUACAAUUAUUAUAAUAAAUAUUGUGUUUGACAA